AACGAACGCUGGCGGCAUGCCUAACACAUGCAAGUCGAACGAGACCUUCGGGUCUAGUGGCGCACGGGUGCGUAACGCGUGGGAACCUGCCCUUAGGUUUGGAAUAACUCCCCGAAUGGGGUGCUAAUACCGGAUCAUGUCUUCGGACCAAAGAUUUAUCGCGUUUGGAUGGGCCCGCGUUGGAUUAGCUAGUUGGUAGGCUAAAAGCCUACCAAGGCGUCGAUCGAUAGCUGGUUACAGAGGAAGGUCAGCGACACUGGGACUGAGACACGGCCCAGACUCUUACGGGAAGCAGGAGUGGGGAAUAUUGGACAGUGGGGGAAAGCCUGAUCCAGCAAUGACGCGUGAGUGAUGAAGGCCUGAGGGUUGUAAAGCUCUUUUACCCGGGAUGAUAAUGACAGUACCGGGAGAAUAAGCUCCGGCUAACUCCGUG
rnacentral:rRNA from 1 species